GCGAUAAGCGCCGGUAAGGUGAUAUGAACCGUUAUAACCGGCGAUACCCGAAUGGGGAAACCCAGUGUGACUCGUCACACUAUCAUUAACUGAAUCCAUAGGUUAAUGAGGCGAACCGGGGGAACUGAAACAUCUAAGUACCCCGAGGAAAAGAAAUCAACCGAGAUUCCCCCAGUAGCGGCGAGCGAACGGGGAGGAGCCCAGAGCCUGAAUCAGCAUGUGUGUUAGUGGAAGCGUCUGGAAAGGCGCGCGAUACAGGGUGACAGCCCCGUACACAAAAGCGCAUGUGCUGUGAGCUCGAUGAGUAGGGCGGGACACGUGGUAUCCUGUCUGAAUAUGGGGGGACCAUCCUCCAAGGCUAAAUACUCCUGACUGACCGAUAGUGAACCAGUACCGUGAGGGAAAGGCGAAAAGAACCCCGGCGAGGGGAGUGAAAAAGAACCUGAAACCGUGUACGUACAAGCAGUGGGAGCACAGGUUUACCUGUGUGACUGCGUACCUUUUGUAUAAUGGGUCAGCGACUUAUAUUCUGUAGCAAGGUUAACCGUAUAGGGGAGCCG
rnacentral:rRNA from 1 species